rnacentral:tRNA from 1 species
GGGGUUGUGGCUCAGCAGUAGAGCGCUUGCCUAGCACCCAGGCCCUGGGUUCGAUACUCAGAACCACA